UUAUUAGAUAAAAAGCCAGUUCAUGCUUUUAUAGUAUGAAAAUUGGUGAUUUAUAAUAACUUAGCAAAUCGCAAAGUGAAAACAGGCGAUAAAUCAUUCAAGUUUCUGACCUAUCAGCUUUCGACGGUAUGGUAUUGGCUUACCGUGGCAGUGACGGUUAACGGGGGAUUAGGGUUCGAUUCCGGAGAGGGAGCCUGAGAAACGGCUACCACAUCUAAGGAAGGCAGCAGGCGCGCAAAUUACCCAAUUCUAACAGUUUGAGAGAGGUAGUAACAAGAAAUAACAAUACAAGGCAGUUAAAAUGCUUUGUAAUUGGAAUGAUAGAAAUUUAAACCCUUUUUAAAGUAUCAAUUGGAGGGCAAGUCUGGUGCCAGCAGCCGCGGUAAUUCCAGCUCCAAUAGCGUAUAUUAAAAUUGUUGCAGUUAAAAAGCUCGUAGUUGAAGUUCUGCUGAAAGUAACCGGUCUGCUUUUAAUAAAAGUGGUAUCUUGGUAUGUAUUUAGCAAUGAUGUCCUUUGAAGUGUUUUUUACUUUAUUGUAAUAAAGCAUAUUCAGGACUUUUACUUUGAGAAAAUUAGAGUGUUUCUAGCAGGCUAACGCUUUGAAUACUGCAGCAUGGAAAUAA
rnacentral:rRNA from 1 species